CCAGGCUUCACAUAUGCAUUCCAAGAAAGAACAAGAAAGAUGAAUGAGAAUGACUGAGAUGAGUUUGGGAAGGGACUUCUGUCCUCAGUGCAUCAUCCAGAGCAGGAAGCGGGAGCGAUCAAGUAUUUGCUGCCAUGAGCAAGCUGGGGUCCAGCUCAUGCACAGAGGAAGGCAGGGUUGGCUGGUAGAGAGUUCGCUGCCCACGGCGAGAAGCUGUGUCCCUGGUGAAAGUGCCCUGGAUCCGGGAGCUGUCUGCUUACUCGGGGAGUGGACUGAGAGCCUUGGGAAGGUUGCUGAUGGAUAUAGGUAGAUGCAGAGGCAGCACUUUCAGUCUGCGGUACUCGGAAGCCAUAGCAGGUUUCGGGGAAGGGGUGACGUGUGGUUGAAGAAAGCAAGGUGAGGGCUGACAGCUUUGUCCCUUGUGCAGACAGCCCCGUGUGGAUUUUAUCUGAACUGGGCUCCACGGGGUUCAGACCAGGGCGUAAAGAGGCCAGUGUGCAGUAAAUAAGUGUGGGUGCAGGUUGUCCUCAGGUCCUGCCAGUUAGAAUCGCAAGCUAAGCUGAGUUCGGCAGCCCUCACCAGGAAGGGGACCUACUCUCCUUCCUCCAUAACCCUGGGGUAGAAGGGUACCUCCCUCCCUAAACGUGCAUUUACUUCCCCCCAAACUCUGGCUUUCUGGGUUCCAGAUGCAGAUCCGCCCCAGCAUACCUGCAUUCCUCACCCCCAGCUGUGCUGUCCAUGGAGAAGAUCAUUCCAGAAGCUGGAAAACUAAGAAGAGAUUUAUAAAAGGGUUGGCGCAGCCCAUGACACAUGGAUUGUGCUCAACAGACCAUCACCACCCUCUUCAUCGUCACGGCCACCUCCUGCUGGACAGGACUUCGUUGUGUUCUUUUAUGUUUUGUUUUGUUUUUUUGGUACCGGGAAUCGAACUCAUGACCUCAGGCUUGCCAGGCAAGUGCUUAUGCUGCUGAGCUACAUCCCCGGCUUUGUUGUGUUCUUGAGGUCUAAGUAACUAACGGGUGGGGUUUUCCUCAGUCCUGGGACCUUCUGUGUCCCCAUCUCUUCCCUGUCCCCUCCUCCCAUGCAUCCACACACUCAUUUUGUGGCAAACAUGAGCCACUUGGAAUGGAAAACUCUCUUGGGAGCACCCAGUGAGACUCUGGUGUGGUGGCCAAGCACUGCAGCGAGCCGAGGGGCAGGGUCUCACCUGAUGCUCAUUCAGGAAGGAUGCUCGACCGCCUAGGCCCCUGUGGAGGACAGUGAGGUGGCGCUGUGUUUAGUACGGACAAAGUGGUUACAUUUUGAACUGAAAAAGAAUUCCUCUCUCCCCUCCCCAGCUUCUCUGAGUCUCCACCCUAUGUUGAACAGGUUGUGAUUUUAAGAACAUCCACCCACAAUCUGUUUCCUGUUCCUAUGCUCACAGCCAUGCAUUUAAGAGGGCUUGGCUGGCAAUGCUGUGUGUGGAACAGGCCCCGCAGAGGAACAAGCCUGACAGCAGUGCAUCAGUGACCACCCAAACUUUCAGAGGAGAGAAAGAGGACCAGGGCCAGAGUCAGUUUUCCAGCUGCCACCCCCACCCCCGCCUGUACCCCACGUGGAUAGUUUAUCUGAUAGAAGCCUCAGUUCACACCCCGCCUUCCUCUUUCUCCCCCUCUGCCCCCAAUAAAGAAACACAGAGAUUAAA